CAUCUUUACGCCACAGGAUUAAGCCAUUACACUUCUACAUCUUUACGCCACAGGAUUAAGCCAUUACACUUCUACAUCUUUACGCCACAGGAUUAAGCCAUUACACUUCUACAUCUUUACGCCACAGGAUUAAGCCAUUACACUUCUACAUCUUUACGCCACAGGAUUAAGCCAUUACACUUCUACAUCUUUACGCCACAGGAUUAAGCCAUUACACUUCUACAUCUUUACGCCACAGGAUUAAGCCAUUACACUUCUACAUCUUUAAAUCACAUGAUUUAGCCAUUACACGUCAAUAUCUUUAAAUCACUCCACUAAAAGCCAAUAAAAUAGCGUAGGUAUCCGAGCAAAAAGAGCUGCUCAUGAAUCUUAAGUGUUCAUUGUUUAAAUUGAAAUCGUCCAUUUAAUUCGUUUUAGAUUGACAAAAUACUGUAAUGUUUUGUUGUCUUUCCUUCUUUGGAUUGGUCAUGAGAAGGCAGAAGCUGAGUAAUUCAUAGUAUGUCAGUUGGAAAGGGCAAUACCACAGACUUUAAAAAAAUGAAAUCAAAAGAAACAGCUGGUAAAAGAGGCUAGGAAAGUAGUAAAUCAAAGGCGAAAGAGCGCUUUACUGAUCAUUUAUUGCCCCGGGGAUCAUUUAUGGCUCUGAAGCUCAAACCAAAAGGUUUAUGUCUAGAAUGACGAAAGAUUGGAAUGUUUUUUUUAUGAGUUUGUUUCCCAUUUCAUCACUCAACUCUCAAAAAUUAUGGACUCGGGACUAGCUGCUUUUGACUCAAAGAUGCAGCGAGCACUACUUCUAGCAAUGAUGGAACAAUUUAUUUCCAUGGGAAAAAGUAAACCAAGGGCAAAAGAUCGAUGUUUAUUUAUUGCUCUAAAAACAUCUCAAACGGUUAAUUGUUAUUCCACAAUGUUUUGUCAUUCUAGACAUAAACAUUUCAAUACACUCUCCAUCUAUCGUUUUUAUAACACCUUACGUUUAGUUAUAUAUAAGACCUACUUGUAUUGUGAUUUUUGUUUUGCCGAAUAUUUGCAUAUUACUGAGAGCAGAUUUGAGCCAAUAUCUUUAAAUCACGCCAUUAUGAGCCAACAACAUAGCGCAGCUAACCAAGUGCACUCUUAUAAUUGUAAGUGGUCUCAUUUAUUUUAAAUUCCGUUAUGCGAGGGUUUGACCCAAACAGAAAAAGGUUUAUAUUUAGAUUGACAAAAUACUGGAAUGUUUUUUUUUCUUUCUUUGAAUUGUAUUUUAUAGUAUUUCAGUUGAAAUGGCCGAUACCACAGACUUUCAAAAAUUAAAUCAAAAGUUAAAAGUUCCGUGAUAUCGCAGGUAACCCAGCGGUCUGUUAUGUGCUAGCGUUUGACCCAAACUAAAAAGGGUUCAUAUUGUGAUUGAUAAAAAUAUUGGCUUUUAACGGCUUUUUAAAGUUUUAAAGUAUCGUUGAGGCAAAAAAAAAUAAAAAUUCAAGCUAAAUCAUCAAACAGUAAGACGCUUUUCGUACUUGGUUAGAAAAAGUGUCUUGUGAAUAGUAAAAGCCGCGAGUUUGGUCAUCCUUGCAUUUAUUUUUGGGUGGAGAAGGUACUUAUCUUUCACUUUACGGAGGGAGCUAAGUCGAAGCAGGGCGCUUAAACGAACUUACAGUGAUUCAAUCUAGCAAGAAGAGCGCCUGUUCGCAUACUAACUUUGUUUUUUAAGGAGUUCUUCAAGGUGCAUAACUAAACUUUAUUUGGAUAGUCUUGACUAACAAGAAGCUCACGAGACCGAUUUUUACUGCGAGAAGAACGUUCAAAUCAAGUUUACAGUCAACUCCACAACAUGAUUGUAACUGAAUCAUCAUCCACUUAUAAAGGAAAAAAGUCUGUACAUGACCUAAGCCGCUUGACCUAACCGAACUUUAUUCCUUGCGCAAGCGGAAGAUCCUCGCUAUAGUUGAUUGUGCUGCAGGGAAAGAUUGAUACAAAGUUACCUCCCCACACACACAAGAAAAUGAUAACGCAUGGAGUAGUCACGUACCAUGUGUAUGUCCGGUGUGCUUCUCGCCGCCUAUGCGAAAUAGCAUAAGGUUGGAUAAAGGGUUUGUACACACCGGCUAAAAAAGUCUGCAAAUCAUUCUUCAAAUGACAAAAUAUUGUAAUUGAUAUGUUAGUCCUAUAAAAUGCCAGAUUAUUAGACGUGUACAAACAAUAAAUAUUAUUUUGAAAAUCGCGAUAUAACCAUGUUGUACUUCAUUUACCAAACUCAACAGUAAAAAUAUUGUAAUAGUUUCCCCAAAUCCCCAAAUAUUGUAAUAGUUCCCCCAAAUCCCCAAAUAUUGUAAUAGUUUCCCCAAAUCCCCAAAUAUUGUAAUAGUUUCCCCAAAUCCCCAAAUAUUGUAAUAGUUACCCCAAAUAACCAAAUAUUAUAAUAGUUUCCCCAUAUCCCCAAAUAUUGUAAUAGUUUUCCCAAAUCCCCAAAUAUUAUAAUAGUUUCCCCAAAUCCCCGGUGUUCCCAGAAGGCAUUUCGGGUGAUAGACAUAUUUUUGGAUAUCGUAGUCAAAAACGUGUUUGUUGUGCGACGUUGGUAUAACGUAGUGCUUGCAACGUGGGAAGUAGAGUGGAACUGCGAUUUUAUUCAGUAAGUAGAGCAAUGAUUCUAUUUGAUUUUAUUCCUUUUUUCAAAAAAGUGUUGUCUACUGGUGCUAGAAAAAACUAUUUUUUUAAUUUUAUGGAUAAAUGGGAUAAUUUCUACUGAGAUAACUUGAUUUAUUUGAAAGUUCUCUUCGAAGAACAGUGUCAAUGAAGUCCCAAAGCGGACAGUUAAUUGUAAACUGUGAACCUAACCUAAACUUGUGAACCUAACCUCUGUUAUGCUAAGUUCAAACGUCGUAUUAUCCAUGAGCCAUAUUCAAUGCAAAUGCGUGCAAAUGAAGAUGAAACAAUCAAUUCAUUUGCACGCAUUUGCAUUGAAUACGGCUCAUUUAUACAACGACGUUUGAACUAGGCCUAAGCAAGAAAAUGUCAUUUAGUAAUACUGAUAUUCAUUGACAAAAUAGGUGAUAAAUGUACACAUUGUUAAAACUAUUGUUUCAUUUUUAUAGUAUUAUAACAAUUACCUCAUACUUGUAAAAGUUAACAGUUUAUAUUGAAGUUUAUUAAAAGUUGAGUUUGCAAUAA